AACGAACGCUGGCGGCAGGCUUAACACAUGCAAGUCGAACGCGUGUAGCAAUACACGAGUGGCGCACGGGUGAGUAACGCGUGGAUAUCUGCCCUUUGGUUCGGAAUAAAUCCGGGAAACUGGAGCUAAUACCGGAUGGUUCCUGCGGGAUACAGAUUUAUCGCGCAAAGAUGAGUCCGCGUACGAUUAGGUCGUUGGUGGGGUAAUGGCCCACCAAGGCGACGAUCGUUAGCUGGUCUGAGAGGACGAUCAGCCACACUGGGGCUGAGACACGGCCCAGACUCCUCCGGGAGGCAGCAGUGGCGAAUAGUGGAAAAUGGGGGCAACCCUGAACCAGCCAUGCCGCGUGAGUGAUGAAGGCCGUCGGGUUGUAAAGCUCUUUUGGCGGGGACGAUGAUGACGGUACCCGCAGAAUAAGCCCCGGCUAACUUCGUGCCAGCCGCCGCGGUAAAAC
rnacentral:rRNA from 1 species